rnacentral:rRNA from 1 species
UACGUAGGGUGCAGGCGUUAAUCGGAAUUACUGGGCGUAAAGCGUGCGCAGGCGGUUUGCUAAGACAGGUGUGAAAUCCCCGGGCUUAACCUGGGAACUGCGCUUGUAACUGGCAAGCUAGAGUGUGGCAGAGAGGGGUGGAAUUCCACGUGUAGCAGUGAAAUGCGUAGAGAUGUGGAGGAACACCGAUGGCGAAGGCAGCCCCCUGGGCUAACACUGACGCUCAUGCACGAAAGCGUGGGGAGCAAACAGG